AUGGUGACAGUUCCCUGGAAAUUCUCUCUCCACUAUUUCACAGAUCCUCCCAAAGCCCCCAAUGUUUCCCCACUGAUUCCUACUAGCCCAACCCAGGUGGCCAGGGUGACUUCCACUGGCUUCAAUGUUAGCAUUGGUUGCCUCUCAAAGGCUACUUUCCUGAACCAGCCACAGUACAAUGGAAUUCAGGUGCCAUCAUCAGUGGAAUCUACCACUUCCCUCCAGUUCAGCAUGCAUCCAGCCAUACCAUCCUGCUCACCAUCCCUGCCACCCAGUGGGAAUCUGAGUUAUUCUUCCACAAUGUGGCACAUUAAACCACCAACUCCAGAAUCAACAAACAUUUUGGCCAUGAGUCCAGCAAAAUUACUCUUCUCCUUUUUUUUUCUCAAAGCCAAAACACUUGUGCAUAACCAGAAAUCCAAGAUCGUUUGCAUGGUUGUCAAUCUGUAACAGGAAGAGGGGUUGAAAAUAAGCUGGUCACAUGAGAAGCAAAUCGUCAUGCAUCCAGAAUUAGUGGCUGUGAUCGAGGAAAACAAUGGGACCUUCACUGCUGUCAGCCGCCUCCCUGUUCUGCCCAUGACUGGGAAUUGGGAGAGAUUUUCACCUGUUCGGAAGAAUAUCCAGGUUUGCCUGGUCCCAUCAUGAAGACAAUUUCCAAGAGCAGUGAAAAAAGCAAGGCAUCCAUCAUCCAUUGGCUAGAGAAUGGCAUUGCCAUUUCAGAAGAUGAUUACAUCAACACUCCAGCUGUGAAGGAAAGUGGUGAUUCCUACAUCCAGUAUAGCAAAUUGAUAAUCCCUGAUGCAUCUUGGAAUCAUGGGAACAUGUAUAGUUGUAUGGUUAUUCAUGAGGCCUUUGCAACGAAGGUCUCCCAGCAGACCUUCAGGAAAACUUUCGGUAAACGUUGA